rnacentral:rRNA from 1 species
AAUGAUAAUGGAAUUAUUUUCAAGAUAUUUUUGUUGGGGCGACACAGAAACAAGUGAUAACUUUCUGGAGAAUACAUGACGAUUUUUAUAAGAUCGGAAAAAUUACCUGAGGGAUAACAGCAUAAUUUUAUAGUUUAGUUUGUGACCUCGAUGUUGGACUAGGAAAUUAAUAGACUAGCCGUUUAUUAUAUUGGUUCUGUUCGAACUGUUUUUCCU